UUAUGGCCAUAUCACCUUGAAACACUAGUUCUCAUAGAAUCACCAAAGUUAAGCAAUUUUGAGCCUGAUCAGUACCUAGAUGGGUAAUUGCUUGUGAAUACCAACUGCUGUAAG